GGGAAAAAGGUCCACUGGUGAUAUAUGCCAUUCUUUGAUCAAAUAGAGCAUUUGAAUAUCAAGUGAUGUGUGCUUGGGUCGUGUUGCUUUCUCUAUUUAGUAAUUCUGAAGCUAGAUUAAGGUGCACAUCUCAACUGUUUGCACCAGUUGAGGUACACAUUAAGUGGAACAUUUUUGUAUCAAUGGACAAUGAUAUAUUUAGUACAUUAAAUUAAACAAGUGUGUGAAUGAUACGUAUCAACAGCCAAAUACUUGGCAAGAAAAUCCUGAGGCAAGAGGCCUCUGAUCAAAUGCACGUGGAUGACACGUGUCCACGCGGUUUCUUUGUCGAGAAGGUGGCUUCAAGGGGACCAGUUUGUAUUCAAUUCGACCAAUGGCCGAGGAGCAUUUGCCUUGUAAUGGAAACAUCUCGACAACUUGAUACUAAUAACUUCGAAAGCUACUACACUCUUGAUAUUUCAAGCUAAUUUUUGUCGUUUCAUUUUAUGUAUGGUAGAGACUUUUUUUUAGUAUUUAGAUUAUAUGAGUUGGAAGUUAAGAUGAAAACAAUUUAAAUCCUGCUUCAUCUCUAGGCACCAUUUGGCAUUUUCAAUGGGACUUCAAACAAUUUUUGUGUAUU